rnacentral:rRNA from 1 species
UACGUAGGGUGCGAGCGUUAAUCGGAAUUACUGGGCGUAAAGCGUGCGCAGGCGGUUCGUUGUGUCGGUGGUGAAAGCCCCGGGCUUAACCUGGGAAUGGCCAUGGAAACUGGCGAACUGGAGUGUGGCAGAGGGGGGUGGAAUUCCGCGUGUAGCAGUGAAAUGCGUAGAGAUGCGGGGGAACACCGAUGGCGAAGGCGGCGAGCUGGUCCAUUACUGACGCUGAGGCGCGACAGCGUGGGGAGCAAACAGG